UACGUAGGGGGCGAGCGUUACCCGGAAUUACUGGGCGUAAAGGGGGCGUAGGCGGCCCGGCAAGUCAAGUGUGAAAUCCGGCGGCUCAACCGCUGGGCUGCGCUUGAAACUGCCGGGCUUGAGUGCAGCAGAGGGAGACGGAAUUGCCGGUGUAGGGGUGAAAUCCGUAGAUAUCGGCAAGAACGCCGGUGGGGAAGCCGGUCUGCUGGGCCGUAACCGACGCUGAGGCACGAAAGCUAGGGGAGCGAACCGG
rnacentral:rRNA from 1 species